rnacentral:rRNA from 1 species
GAUGAACGCUGGCGGCGUGCUUAACACAUGCAAGUCGAACGGAAAGGCCCAAGCUUUCUUGGGUACUCGAGUGGCGAACGGGUGAGUAACACGUGGGUGAUCUGCCCUGCACUUCGGGAUAAGCCUGGGAAACUGGGUCUAAUAUCGGAUAGGACGUUGUGUUGGAUGCGAUUGUGGAAAGUUUUUUCGGUGUGGGAUCAGUUCGCGGCGUAUCCGCUUGUUGUUGGGGUAUUGGCCUACCAAGGCGUUGACGGGUAGCCGGCCUGAGAGGGUGUACGGCCACAUUGGAACUGAGAGACGGCCCGGACUCCUGCGGGAGGCAGCAGUGGGGAAUAUUGCACGAUGGGCGGAAGCCUGAUGCAGCGAGGCCGCGUGGGGGAUGACGGCCUUCGGGUUGUAAGCUCCUUUCGCUAGGGACGAAGCGUUUUUGUGACGGUACCUGGAGAAGAAGCACCGGCUAACUACGUG